GAUGAACGCUGGCGGCGUGCUUAACACAUGCAAGUCGAACGGAAAGGCCCAAGCUUGCUUGGGUACUCGAGUGGCGAACGGGUGAGUAACACGUGGGUGAUCUGCCCUGCACUUCGGGAUAAGCCUGGGAAACUGGGUCUAAUACCGGAUAGGACGAUGGUUUGGAUGCCAUUGUGGAAAGUUUUUUCGGUGUGGGAUGAGCUCGCGGCCUAUCAGCUUGUUGGUGGGGUAAUGGCCUACCAAGGCGUCGACGGGUAGCCGGCCUGAGAGGGUGUACGGCCACAAUGGGGAUGAGAUACGGGCCAGACUCCUACGGGGGGCAGGAGUGGGGAAUAUUGGACAAUGGGGGCAAGGCUGAUGCAGCGACGCCGCGUGGGGGAUUACGGCCUUCGGGGUGGAAACUCCUUUCGCUAGGGACGAAGCGUUUUUGUGACGGUACCUGGAGAAGAAGCACCGGCUAACUACGUG
rnacentral:rRNA from 1 species